AUGGUGGAGAUUGGGGGAAAAAUGUCAAGGUUUGUUGACAAGAGCAAAGAUUUGAUGGUGGCCGUGACCCUGCUGGAGUGUGGGGGGGACCUCCAGCCCCCCGGGGGGUCCCUGCGCCUCCUCUGCCGAGGGUCUGGGUUUUAUUUCGGCAACUCUGACAUGUUCUGGAUCCGCCAGAGACCCAGGCAUGGGCUGGAAUGGGUUGGAAGUAUCAGCAGUAGUGGUGGCAGCACCUACUACGCGCCGUCCGUCAAGGGCCGGUUCACGAUCUCCAGGGACAACGGGCAGAGCUCGGUGACGGUGACCAUGAACAACCUCAAGGACGAGGAUUCCGGAUCCUAUUUCUGUAUCGUGAACUGGCCCUUGACGGAUGGCGCGUAG